GACGAAGGAUGCAAGCGUUAUCCGGAUUCAUUGGGUUUAAAGGGUGCGUAGGCGGCCCUGUAAGUCAGUGGUGAAAUCUCUCAGCUUAACUGAGAAACUGCCAUUGAUACUGCAGGGCUUGAGUACAGAUGAUGUUGGCGGAAUAUGACAUGUAGCGGUGAAAUGCAUAGAUAUGUCAUAGAACAUCGAUUGCGAAGGCAGCUGACAAAACUGUAACUGACGCUGAGGCACGAAAGUGUGGGGAUCAAACAGG
rnacentral:rRNA from 1 species